CUACGGGGGGCAGCAGUGAGGAAUUUUGCGCAAUGGGGGGAACCCUGACGCAGCAACGCCGCGUGAGUGAUGAAGGCUUUCGGGUCGUAAAGCUCUGUCAAGUGGGAAGAACCUAUGCAGUGUUAAUAUCACUGUAUACUGACGGUACCACUGAAGGAAGCACCGGCUAACUCCGUGCCAGCAGCCGCGGUGAAUACGGGGGGUGCAAGCGUUAUUCGGAAUCAUUGGGCGUAAAGGGCACGUAGGCGGCUUGGUAAGUCAGAUGUGAAAGCCCGGGGCUUAACCCCGGAAGUGCAUUUGAUACUGUCAGGCUUGAGUAUGGGAGAGGGAAGUGGAAUUCCUGGUGUAGAGGUGAAAUACGUAGAUAUCAGGAGGAACACCGGUGGCGAAGGCGACUUCCUGGACCAAUACUGACGCUGAGGUGCGAAGGCGUGGGUAGCAAACAGGAUUAGAUACCCGCGUAGUC
rnacentral:rRNA from 1 species